rnacentral:rRNA from 1 species
UACGAAGGGUGCAAGCGUUACUCGGAAUUACUGGCGUAAAGCGUGCGUAGGUGGUGAGUUAAGUCUGUCGUGAAGCCCCGGCUCAACCUGGGAAUGGCGAUGGAUACUGGCUCGCUAGAGUGCGGUAGAGGAGAGUGGAAUUCCCGGUGUAGCAGUGAAUGCGUAGAGAUCGGGAGGAACAUCAGUUGCGAAGGCGGCUCUCUGGACCAGCACUGACACUGAGGCACGAAAGCGUGGGAGCAACAGG